UUAUUUCUUAGGUAAAUUACACAUGAUUUAUAUGUGCUAUAUUUACGAGAAAUUUAGAUAACUAUUGUUAACCCAAUAGUCUUUAACAAAAAGUAAUUUCCUUAAAUAGUUUUAGACAAAAAAAUUUUAAGUAUUUCAUUUUUACAAAAAUCCAAUUUCAUAUUUGAGUUUAGCCUAAAAAGGUGGAGUAAAAGGAAGCGUAUAGUAAUUAUAGUCCAUGGAAGAUCACAAUCUCCACAGUUGAUGGUUUCUCCACAUGAAGACUAAUUCCACAUUCCCAAUUUCCCAUAAUCAAUAUACUUGCUGCAUCACUAAUCUAGUGCUACUAACCUUUUUAUUUUCAUUUCAUUUCAUUUCAUAAAGCUUCUGACCUAACAUUUCUCCGCUCACUCCUCGUAAUUGAUAACUCUCCUUUACAAAUUCAACUCCAGAUCCACUUCCAUUUCCUAAGAGAGAAGAUCAAGGAACAAUUACAAGAUCAAUGGCGAACAAUGUAAAUCCGUCUUUAAUGCCGGAAAUUGGCCCUGAUGGACUUGUUCGUGAAGCUCCUGUUAUCGCCUACACUGAAAAGGUUAUUGAGCAAGAAAAGCUUCAACUUAAGAAAUAUAUAGAGGAAAAUUAUUCAAAAAUUCGUGAUGUUGAGCGUGAGUUUGCUAACCUAAAUUUGGAGUUAAAACUCACUGCUGGUUCAAAAAAUGCCGCAUUUGAACAUCUAAGAAAAAAAAUUGAGAUCCAAAAUGACAAAAUUCAAGCAGCUAAGGUCAAGGAAGAACAAGCAAAAAAGAUGUGGGAAGUUGCUUUAAAAGUUGUACAAGAUGAGGAAGAAGUUAAACAGAAGCUAUGUGAGGACUUGAAUCAAUUGGUCCAAGAAAGCAAUAACUCCCAGUAUGCAAGACUUGAGGAGUUAAAAAGGCGACUUGAAGCUUUGAAUCCAGGAAGAGUAUCAACUUCAAUCAUGCCGCACAGCAUGCCAAUUAGUGCAUCACCUGCCUCUAUGACGCCAGAAGUAAAUGGAGUAACUUCAAAUUCUCCCAGUCCAGCAAAUGCUGAAGACUCACCAACUAAAGUUCAUAAUCAGCCACCAAGUACUGAUGGAGCAGGAAGAGGAAAGAAGAAAACCCUUUACCAUGGUAGAGGAAGGGGAAUUGGAAUAUUGUCAAAAGGGAGAGGUUCUACACCUGGCUGGACUGGUGCUGGAUUUGAUGUGGAUACUGGAAGUUGAGAGGACUUAGCUUUUAUGUCAAGUUUUGUGAUGAAAACAUUUCUGCACAUUCUUCAAAAGAUACAGCUAUUAAACUGAAGUGAAUUACAUUAAAUGAUGAAAGUAUUUGGGAUAGACAAUCUUCAACCUGCAAAGAGAUGCACAACUUUUUCCCCUAAAUAAACUUCCAUUUGUUUCUGCAUCAGCAUAAUUCAGAAGCUCCUUCUGUCAGUUCUAUUGACCAAGUAAGUGCAUAUUUUUAAGUGCAUCAAAAAUGAAAAUAUUGCACUUGAAUUUGCUAUUGAUAACCGUGGCUAUUGACGGUUUAGUAUUAUAUGAGAGCAUUGAAUCAAUGUGGUUAUUAUUUUGUGUUACUCUUAUGUUGUAUAUACACAAUUUAAUAUUAAAUCGAUUUUUAAUAAAAUAAUCAAAGCUA